ACACUUUAAUAAAUUUAUUCAGAUAUUGUUUAAAAAUUUUUUAUUACUUAUAAGUCCAUCUUCAAGAUGUAUGUAAAUACUAAUCCAUUCGUUAUAAAUUAUAUAUUGUAACUCGCUUAAUUCUUCAGUAUAGGCUGCACCUUGAUCUGUCCUUUAGUUACUCAACUGAAAAAAUAUUUCUAAAAAAUAUUUUUGACGACGGCAUACAAACUAUGAAACCUGAAGAGAAUAUUUCUUGGUGGCUAUCAAUUACUUAGUAAGUUCCCCUAUAAUUUAUUAAAGCCGCCAUAUUUUUUGAGUUUGAUAUAGUAGUUUAUUUACUUCUCAGAUUAUACAUAGAUUGUUAGAAAUAGUAGGGUAUCUAAUCCUAGUUUAAAAGUCUAUUUUGGUUAUAAAUAAAGAAAUGGAAUCGGGCAUAUUAUAUUUCACCAAAAAGCUGUCCUUGAACUUUAUUAAAAUUAGUAUAAUUUUUUAUUAUUACUUUUUAAUUAUGGUAUGACCGCGGUUGCUGGCACCAUAUUUACCUUAAAAAUUGCCUGUACUGAAUCUUAUAUUUAUAUAGUUUUCAAUCUUUCCAACUGGAUAUACAUAAAUUUCCAUUAUUGUAUAUAGGCUUUAGUAAAUUGUUUUUUCUAUCAAAAUAAAGUAGGAAUGGUCUAAAAAGGAAUUUGGUCCUUUUCCGG
rnacentral:rRNA from 1 species